GAUGAACGCUGGCGGCGUGCCUAAUACAUGCAAGUCGAGCGAACAGACGAGGAGCUCGCUCCUCUGACGUUAGCGGCGGACGGGUGAGUAACACGUGGAUAACCUACCUAUAAGACUGGGAGAACUUCGGGAAACCGGAGCUAAUACUGGAUAAUAUAUUGAACGGCAGGGUUCAAUAGUGAAAGACGGUUUUGCUGUCACUUAUAGAUGGAUCCGCGUCGCAUUAGCUAGUUGGUAAGGUAACGGCUUACCAAGGCAACGAUGCGUAGCUGACCUGAGAGGGUGAUCGGCCACACUGGAACUGAGACACGGUCCAGACUCCUACGGGAGGCAGCAGUAGGGAAUCUUCCGCAAUGGGCGAAAGCCUGACGGAGCAACGCCGCGUGAGUGAUGAAGGUCUUCGGAUCGUAAAACUCUGUUAUUAGGGAAGAACAAAUGUGUAAGUAACUAUGCACGUCUUGACGGUACCUAAUCAGAAAGCCACGGCUAACUACGUG
rnacentral:rRNA from 1 species